rnacentral:tRNA from 1 species
GGCUCGGUAGCUUAGUGGUAAAGCGCUCGUCUAGCAACAAGAGUCCUGGUUCCAAAUCCCAGCCAAGCAC